AGGUCCUGAAGGAAUGAACCAACCGUUGAUAACAUUGGUUUGACUACAAACUGACAGCGCUCUUUUCUGGACGGCAAAGAAAAGUGGGAAAGCUGAAAUAAGUGUCUGUACUUGAAGACUGUUUUAACGUUGUAUGGCAAGCAUGAUGAAAACUUCAGCGUCCCACACAUACCCAGCUCUGCUUUCUAACCUCACAUCUUACUGCCUCCAUCGUUAGUUUGGAGUAUCAGCCUCAGGGCCUGACAUUCACUUGGCCACCACACCCUGACACCUAUCAAGAUGGUGCUAAAACAGAAACUGGCAAUGACAGAAGACUCCAAGGGGAUCAAAAAUGAAAAGCAACUAAAAAUAUCAUCACUACUUAAGGUCUCUCAUCUCUGCUCCAUAUAUCUUUAUCCCAAACUACUCGAAAAUUCUCAUACAUGGAGGAAAGACUGGAUUUCUGAAACAGCCUGGACUGAAAUGAGUAACAGCCGGAGCACC